UUGCCUGAAAUGAUGAAUUUCAUGAUGAUUUUCUGAAUUUUUUUUCCCUGGAGACAAAAACUUACCUCUCUGAAUCUGAUCAGGCUC
rnacentral:snoRNA from 1 species